GGUUUUUGCAGCCGGGCAAUCUUCUCAGCGUGUAGCCUGGUAACCCUUACCUCUCUGCCAGGUCGUGUGUGUUGCUGGCUGGAGAAGGGUAGUUGAAAACUCAGACCAAGCACAGUGUUUAUGUUGGUCAAAACUAGAAGACUAUGUCCGGGCGCAGCCGAGGCUGGAGGAUCCCUUCAGGCCAAGAGCAGCCUACCAAUAUGGCACGACCGGAUCUCUGUAGUCCUACCUCAGCCCCCCAGCUACUUGAACCCCAAGGUUCGAGGCUCCAAUGAGCUAUGAUCCCACCACAGCAUUGCAGCCUGCCAGACUGAGAAAUGGAGUUUCACCAUGUUGGCAAGGCUGGUCUCGAAUUCCUGACCUCAAGUGAUCCACCCACCUCAGCCUCCCAAAGUGCUGGGAUUACAGGCAUGAGCCACCAUGCCCGGCCCCUUCAGCUGGAGUUUCACGUUUGUCGCCCAUGCUGGAGUAUGAUCCUGGCUCACUGCAAUCUCUGCCUCCGAGGUUCAAGCGAUUCUCUUAGCUCAGCCUCCUGAGCAGCUGGGAUGACAGGCACCUGCCACAACGCCUGGCUAAUUUUUGUAUGUUUAGUAGAGAUGGGGUUUCACCAUGUUGGCCAGGCUGGUCUUGAACUCCUGACUUCAUGAUCUAUCUGCCUCAGCCUUCCAAAGUGUUGAGAUUACAGACAUGAACUUAUGAAUUCAACACAUGAAGACUUACAACUUGAUAAACCAGCUUUAGGAGAUUGAGAAAACUUGUAUUCCUGUGAUUUCGAUAGUGAAGGAAGUAUGGUAUACCAGAAUCACUAAAUUAUGAAAGAUGGUGGAUCAGCUUUUUGCAAAAAAAUUUGCUGAAGCCUUGGGGAGCACUGAAGCCAAGGCGGUACCAUACCAAAAAUUUGAAACACAUGUGAAUGAGCUGAAUGUGGAAGGACUACCGGAAAACAUUCCUUUCAGAAGCCCCUCAUUGCAUGGAAUCCCAAGGCUCGAAAGCAUCUUUCAAGUGGGCAAUCGAAUUAAGUUUGUUAUUAAGAGGCUGGAGUGCAGUGGCAUGAUUUCAGCUCACUGCAACAUUUGCCUCCCGGGUUCAAGCAAUUCUCCUGCCUCAUCCUCCUGAGUAGCUGGGAUUACAGGUGCAUGCCACCAUGCCAGGCCAAUUUUUGUAUUUCUAGAAGAAAUGGGAUUUCACCAUGUUGGCCAGGUUGGUCUCAAACUCCUGACUUUCUCAUGCACCCACUUUGGCCUCCCGAAGUGUUGGGAUUACAGGUGUGAACCACCACACCUUGCCCUCAGCAUGCUUUCAAUUUAGCCAAAGAAUCAAAGCAUUGGUGAAGAAUUGAAGAUUGGAAGUUACACAUUUCUUGCUAAGGGAAGUAAUAGAGAAAGAAAAAUAUUCCUGGAGGUAGAUCUUCAGUUUGCAUUAGUCUGAAGAUGAUGAAACCUGUAGAAAACUUCAUUUCUGAAGACAAAGCUCAAAUUCAAGGUUGUGAGGAGUGCAGUCACCAUUUUUGUUAAGGGCAGUUGUGACAGUUAUUGCAGAAAGUGAGAAUGUGAAACCUGUACUAUAUAAAGAAUGUUCAAGUGUCGUAGAAGACACUGCAAGGAUUGCGUGCUGGAGCAGUGCUGGACUUGCCAUCAUCACCAGAGUACAGCAGGUGCCACCAGAAGGAGAAUCUUCUUCUUGCCAUCACUAACAGCACUUGACUCUGUCCCACUCAUAAAAGACCUUGGAAGGAAUUAAAGGUGCUUGGUGGUUCCUCAUUUUAACAUAACCUUACUUGGCCUGACUGUGGACCAUGCAUUAGUGUUUGGACAGGACAAUUAAAAUCACAGAGCACAUGACAAAAGAAUUUUGUGGCCAUCAGAACUGUCUCCUUAAACACACCAUGGGUGCACUGUGUCCUCAGCUUGGUGAAAGGUAGAUGUCAUACGUGAGAAGGCAGUGGAGCCAGGCAAAUGAUGGAGACUCGAAGAGUGGGAGGUGGCACCUGGCUGUGUGAGGAGGGCGUGAAGUCCUCCAUGGGAGGAACAUAUGCCAGCAAAGGAGGUAAGGAUGGGCAGAAGAGGAGGCUGAGCAGCAAGUGAAUAGAAGCGCUCGACCUCAGAGGAGGAGAGUCCCAUGUCUUUAUUGGUAGUAUUCUAAUGUGUUCAUACUGGAGUUAUUUUCUGUGGCUGAAUGGUCCAGCUACUGAAAUGGGUGUGGGGUGGGGAACAACUCCUACUAAACCUUUUAGAUGCUGAGUUUUCUUUUAAAGUAAAGGACAUAUUAUAAGAUUUUCUGAAA